AGGAGAAUUACUGAGUCACAUAGUAAGUCUGUGUUUAACUUUUUGAGGAACUGACAAACUUUUAUCCAAAUGGCUACACCAUUUUUUCAUUCUCACCAGCAAU
rnacentral:pre_miRNA from 1 species